AGGCCAGAAACGCCGAGAGCCUCGUCCUAGGUCCUUGCCUCUGCCAAAGGCCGGUGGCAGGGCGGGAGCAGUAAUAAGGAUGUUUAAUGAGCGCUAAUGAUACUAAGAGCUUUACCGGGACUAACUCAUCUAAUCCUGCCAUCCGACCCAUGAGAGUUAUCAACCCCAUCUACGUGAGGAAAUCGAGGCUCGGACAGCUUGCCCAGCUCACACCGCCAGUCGGCGAGGAGACGCUGACAAUAGAACCCCCGACUCUCGGCUGCCGCCCCGGGCCCCACGCACUGCACCACCCAGCCUCCUCCCGCGGGCCCCGCGCCAGCCUCUCCGUGCGCCGAAUCCGGAAAGAAGUCCUGUCCGACUCCAGUCCGCCCCCGAAGGUUCCUUUCGAUCGCGGAGCUGCGCCGCCUCCUGCCUCCUCCCUCUCUGCCCCCUUCCCUCCAGGUUUCCAGGAGGGAGCUGGUGGGGGAGGGGGAGGUUAGCGCCCCGCGCCCCCCGCGGCCGACCCAGCCCCCACCCCCGCGCCGCCCGGUCCCGUCCCUGUUACAGCGUGUGGGCGGCGAUCCAGCAGGAGGUGGAGCAGAUCCACAGGCCGAAGGAGAUGCAGACGCGGUGGCGGGCGAAGCAGCGGUCCAGGAGUCGCUGGUGUUGCUGCUGAAAGGUCACAGGGUCUCUUCCAGGAGGAGGAUGACAGUACAGAAGUUUACCCUACAAAGACAUCAAGAAGCGUAACAGCACAUCACAGGUGCCAUGUGUGUUAUCCCAGAAGAAAAGUCCUCCGAGAAGCUAUCUCCGCCAGGCACCCUCUGGCAAGCUUCCUGCUUUUUGAUGCAGAGAGCUGAGCAGAGUUCUGUCACCUAUAACCACAGCCCUAACGAACACACGACUGUGCUCCUUCUUACCUUGUUUGCAUUUUCUACAGAAGUGUUCUUCAGUACACUAACAUGAGUAGACUUAGGAUAAAUAUUUUCCAAAACAAAAACCAGGACACAACCGGACAGUGGGACGAUACUAAUGGGGACGUUGGGCUGGCCGCGGUUGCUCACUGGGCGCAGAUUUUCCACUUCCCACUAACUGAAGGCGAGAGGGUAUGCUGCCCAAUCUGACUCCUGUGCUUGCCAGAGCUCUGCUGACAUGGCACUAAGAAGGCCGAACAAAGCCAAAUCCUCACAGCCAGUUAUUACUGGAGAUCCAGAAUGCUUGUUUGUGAAAAGAAUUCAGCUUAACCCAUAAAUACUAUUGGGGGUUAAUUAUGUGUGAGGCCCUGAGCUUAGUGGUGUGUGUGUCUCCACAUACCUAUAUUUUUCUCAUUUAUUUCGCAUAAUAAUCUCAUGAGAUAGGUACUAUUAAUUCUUAUUUUACUUACAAGGAAAACCCCAAACUUGGCACAUGUUCAUUUGUAACAUGAGAAUAAUAACCUCAUAGACUCGCUGUGUAUUUUUAACGAGGUGACACAAAGAAAACAUUUCGCACUGCCCUCUGUGUAGGGCUCGCUGGGAGUGCUGCUGUUAUGAGGGCAAACGCAGGGACAAAGGCUUAUGACCAGCUACACUGCAGGGAGGGUGGGGACACAGCUGUCACAGGAACUAGCAAGGGCUGCGGGAGAUGGAAAAACCAGAGGCACCAUUUUCUCACUUUCACCGAUGACACGUGCAGCGCCCUCUGCCUCGCAUUACGCUGCUCGUGACAUGCCAGGUCCAGAUGACGCUAGCUGCCCCGGUCAAGAAUGCCUGGCCAAGGCUGUGGAUCCCCUUACCCAGAAAAGCCGCGAGAACCUUGCCCACGUGGCCUCUCUGACAACACAACCUCAGUGAGGAAAUAUCUCCUUUCUAACAGGUUGCCGGCAUCUAAAAGCACAGUGUGAGAAUGAAGGCCUAUCUACUCCAGAGCAACAAGGAGCCGGGCUCACUUACGCUGACGUAGUCCUUCAAGAUAUAGCGAGCAGACCGAGGCUGGUCUGGCUGCCCAUGCGCCGUCAUGAAUCCUCGCAUGUCUGUGAGGCAAAUAACGGUGCAAAACCGAAGUCACAACAAAGACAACCAAGGUGAUGAAAAUUUAGUCUGUUACCCCACUAACUGUGCAUCCUGACUUGUUAGCUUUAUUUUUUUAAAAAGAUUUUCAUUCAUUUGGCCAGGGGUGGGGGAGCAGGGGGGAAGGGGGAGCAUAAGCAGUGGGGAGAGGCAGAGGGAGAAGCAGACCCCCCGCUGAGCUGGGAGUCCAACAUGGGGCUCAAUCCUGGGACCUGGAGAUCACGACCUGAGUCGAAGGCAGACACUUAACCAUUUGAGCCACCUAGGCACCCUUGAGUCACUAGCUUUCAAAAAGCAACCAUCACUGUAGAAGAUAAUCUGAUUAGCACUAUAAAGACAUCUGACAAUCCAGGUGAACAGACGAUAUUGUUCUGAUAUCCAAGCACCAAGUGGUAACAGAGAUAUUCAAUUUCUCUUUACUCUAGUUAUUUCUUUCAUCUCUUCAUUUUAUGAACAUUUAAUCAUGGAGGCUACCUGUAGAAUGCUAUGUUGUCACUAUUAUUAGCAACACCAAAAGUAAUACAGUGAGUAAGUCUCUUCUUGUUUAGUGAUCUAGCUAUGCUUUUUCCAGCUUCUCAAACAUACUGCAAAGAUCCCUCUAAUACUGACUCAACCAGAGGGAGUAGCAGAGCAUAGUGGUUAAGAAUAUAGGCUUUGGCAGACAGGUGGGGUUCAAAACUCGGCUUCCUCACCUACUAGCUGUGUAGUAGGCUCUGCCACUUUGGAAGAAAAUAAAACUCUAGUUCACAUAAUAUUAAAAAAUACAUUUAGGCAAAUUAAAAAUCUAAAAGUAUUUAAAAAAAAAUAGAGGGAAACAAUUUUGUCCUUAGAUAGGGAAGACUCUCCCCAAGUAAAACACCAAACCCCAUCAAGCCAAAAAAGGAAAAAAAAAAAAAAGGCUAUUAAAAUUGUUAAUGUCGAGUGCCUGGGUGGCUCAGUGGGUUAAGCCUCUGCCUUCA